AACGCUAGCUACAGGCUUAACACAUGCAAGUCGAGCGCAAACGAUAGAGAAAGCUUGCUUUUUCUAGGCGUCGACCGGCGCACGGGUGAGUAACGCGUAUCCAACCUGCCCAUCACUUGGGGAUAACCUUGCGAAAGUAAGACUAAUACCCAAUGAUAUCUCAAGAAGACAUCUGAAUGAGAUUAAAGAUUUAUCGGUGAUGGAUGGGGAUGCGUCUGAUUAGCUUGUUGGCGGGGUAACGGCCCACCAAGGCGACGAUCAGUAGGGGUUCUGAGAGGAAGGUCCCCCACAUUGGAACUGAGACACGGUCCAAACUCCUACGGGAGGCAGCAGUGAGGAUUAUUGGUCAAUGGGCGAGAGCCUGAACCAGCCAAGUAGCGUGCAGGAUGACGGCCCUAUGGGUUGUAAACUGCUUUUAUAAGGGAAUAAAGUGAGAGUCGUGACUCUUUUUGCAUGUACCUUAUGAAUAAGGACCGGCUAAUUCCGUGCCAGCAGCCGCGGUAAUACGGAAGGUCCGGGCGUUAUCCGGAUUUAUUGGGUUUAAAGGGAGCGUAGGCCGGAGAUUAAGCGUGUUGUGAAAUGUAGAUGCUCAACAUCUGCCACUGCAGCGCGAACUGGUUUCCUUGAGUACGCACAAAGUGGGCGGAAUUCGUGGUGUAGCGGUGAAAUGCUUAGAUAU
rnacentral:rRNA from 1 species